AACUUGUGAACCCGUUUAAAUAAAUGGGUUGGUGGAUCAUAUAUGGGUUUAUGUUCCAAACCCGUCAACCCGUGACCCGCCAACCAGUGACAUGUAUAUUUAAAUGAGUUGUGUUUGGAUUGACAUAUUUUGACACGCCAACCCGAACACGACACGAUUGUCAGGCCUACUCCCAGAAAAUAAAAUUACUGAAAUACCAUUGUGUAUUUAUUUUUAAUUUUUCUUUCAUUUUUAUCUAUAAUAAUUAAAAAAAUAAUCGAGGGCUCUCUCCCCCUGGCGCGCACACACAUCCAUUCACCUGGUCUUCUUCUUCCUCAAGAAAACCCACAUCUCCAUUGACAUCGGAAGUCAUCUCAGCCUCCGCCACCACCGGCGACAACCUCUCAUACGCCAACACCAUCAAUGAGGUCACUAUGCACCAGUAGCCUCCCAACCAUUCUCAAGUUUCCAUUUUGCCAUUGCCCCAAAUCCCCCUUUCUUCAAAUCCUUCUUCCUCUAAAUCCAUCACCACAUUUUCAAAGUUCAAAUAUUUUUUUAUCAAAUAUCACAAAUCUAACAAAAAAACUCAUAACAUUAAUCACAUCAUCACCAUCGUCAUCGAUGGCUUCCACAACUCAGACAGACAAAAGUACAGAAAAACCUUAUCUGUUCUAUUCGUUUGCUUGGGAAACAUUUGUAGAAUCCCAUCUGCCGAAGGCGUUUUCACUGAUUUGGUCAACAAAACGAGAUCUUUUUUCCAAAUUUCUCAUCUUCUGCUUUGAUUUUGAACCUAGAAACCAUUCAUAAACUACCCAUUUUAGUCUCUACCCAAAUCAAUCCUUAUCUCCCUUCUCCUUGACCAUCAACAUAAAAAAUUUGAUUCUGAAACCUAAUCUUAAUCUGAAUCAAUUUCUGAAACCCAAUAACUAUACUGACUUCUUCCUUAUGCUCAAAUGCUUUGAGUUAUUGAUUCCAGAGGACCUGAGUGAAACGUAGAAAACCCUGAAACGAAAUUCGAAAGCAUUCGAAACCCACCACACAUCUUCUUCAAAACCCAGAUCUUAAAGCUUCGAUUUUGUCUAUUUGCUGAAUCGAAACCUAAAAAAUGACUUGUUUUAUAUACUGUUUUUCAUCGUUAUGUGCAAGUAUAUAUGUGUGUUUAUAGUGUGUGUGUGUGUGUGUUAAACACAUGUCUUAUAGCUUCGACUGUGUGUUUUCAUCAAGAGACAUCAGAGAUGUAAGCAGGGAUGGAGAUGAUGAAGAUCUUCACCUGAUAAGUCAUCUUGUAGAGAGACAUUUGUUGAAGAUGCAUUGCGUUAACGGUGAAGAUUGAAGAAGAUGAACAAGUCCUCUCGUGUAAUUCUUCACCCAAUCAACUUUCAUCAAGAAAGAGAGAGACAAGAGAGAGAAA
rnacentral:lncRNA from 1 species